rnacentral:rRNA from 1 species
UUCUGCCUACGGGGCGCAGCAGUGGGGAAUAUUGCACAAUGGGGGAAACCCUGAUGCAGCGACGCCGCGUGAGUGAAGAAGUAAUUCGUUAUGUAAAGCUCUAUCAGCAGGGAAGAAAAUGACGGUACCUGAGUAAGAAGCCCCGGCUAACUACGUGCCAGCAGCCGCGGUAAUACGUAGGGGGCAAGCGUUAUCCGGAUUUACUGGGUGUAAAGGGCGUGUAGGCGGGAAGGCAAGUCAGAUGUGAAAACUAUGGGCUCAAACCAUAGCCUGCAUUUGAAACUGUAUUUCUUGAGGGCUGGAGG